rnacentral:misc_RNA from 1 species
CUGGAAAGGAGAAACAUCAAACAUGGCCAGAGGAGAUGCCAUGGGCAAGAGAGGUGAUCCCGGCGCAAGAUGUUGUAUAGGUGUUGGCACAUUGGUGGGAUUGCGCUGUGCAGAAACCAUAUUCAAAGUAUUCAGGUCCCCUUCACUAACACCCAUCGGAGAAGAAGCAGGAUUAUGCUUCCAAUCAGGUUGCUUCCCAGAUGGAAUAUAGGUGGUACCCAUGAAACUCAAGCCAACUUGUCCAAACUGUCCAACUGGUGCAAAAUGAUUAUACACAACCAUGUGCGGAGGACCUUGAAC